UGGGGAAUUGUUCACAAUGGGCGCAAGCCUGAUGACGCAACGCCGCGUGGGGGAUGAAGGUCUUCGGAUCGUAAACCCCUGUCGAAUGGGACGAAAGACCCGGGAGCUAAUCAUCCUGGGAGUGCCGGUACCGUUAAAGGAAGCCACGGCUAACUCUGUGCCAGCAGCCGCGGUAAUACAGAGGUGGCAAGCGUUGUUCGGAAUUACUGGGCGUAAAGGGCGCGUAGGCGGCCUUCUAAGUCAGACGUGAAAUCCCCCGGCUUAACCUGGGAACUGCGUCUGAUACUGGAGGGCUUGAGUAUGGGAGAGGGAUGUAGAAUUCCAGGUGUAGCGGUGAAAUGCGUAGAUAUCUGGAGGAAUACCGGUGGCGAAGGCGGCAUCCUGGACCAUUACUGACGCUGAGGCGCGAAAGCUAGGGGAGCAAAC
rnacentral:rRNA from 1 species